rnacentral:rRNA from 1 species
CCCUUAGAUGUUCUGGGCAGCACGCGCGCUACAAUGGUCUUCGCAAACGGAUGCAUUCUCGAAGGAGAAUGCCAAUCUUGGAAUCUAUGCCUUGGUCGGGACAGUUGCUUGCAAUUUUUCGACUCGAACCAGGAAUUCCUUGUAAUCGUGAUUCAUCACAUCACGAUGAAUACGUCCCUGCCCUUUGUACACACCGCCCGUCGCUCCUACCGAGCGAAGAGUUAGGUGAAUUGUUUUGAUCGAUAAGAUUUGACUAUGGUCAACUCUCGUUGUGAAAUUCUGUGAAUCUGACUGUUUAGAGGAAGGAAAAGUCGUAACA